rnacentral:lncRNA from 1 species
AGAGAGAUUGUAGAUACCUGGAGCGAAAACCGAUAUCUGCAGCGGGAUCUCCGUUGUUGACAAUGGCUGGAUUUCGACCUUUGUGGAACUUAAACCUGACCAUAUGAAAGGAGGUGAGCUUUCCAUGGAAGAUGGAGGUUUCCCUAGACGGCUCCCCAUGACAUCUGAAGUCAGUUUCAUUUCCUCUGUUAAAUCUGGCACGUAGCGCCACCCGGAUUGGUUUCCAGAGGAAGGAGCUGGUGCUGCUGCGUCUUGUACGGAAUCAAGGGUGUUGAAGCUCACAGAUGAUAGUCCAUCAGAUGUGUUUCUGAUUACCAAUUUUAGUUGAAUUUCACACAAGGAGGUGGAGAAGUCGUGGUAUAUGGCUUCGGGACCGUCUAGGGACCACGAGAGCGGGUUUGAGCUCCUGAUUCUGUAAGCGAACAACAAUGUGAUUACAAGUUAGGUAAAAAUAGGUUCGAAAGAUGACGAAAAUAUACUCUUACCUAUUGUGACAUGAAUGGUGAGACAGAAUCGUUGGAAUAUCUGCCACUCCUGAUGAAAUGCUGGAUUUUGCUAGGUGAGAGAUUAGAAUGAAGUCAACGUUAUUGGUACGUAACUGUUUCAUCAUACAAACACGAGUCAUUGUGGUUUCUGAUGAUAGAAAGUUACCAGUGAUGAUUUUAUGUUUAAGAGAAGUAAUAAACGCUUAAACAAAAAUCUCUAGGGCAUUAGAUAUAUGUCCCUGAAAGGGGACUUUCGCUUACCUGAUCUGAGGUUUCUUGACAUGACCUUUCACUUUCAUGGAAGCUUGCUAAAGGUGAGUUAACGAUAUCAAACAGUUUUUCAUCGUCAUCCUGAGUAAACAGUUUUACGUCGGUUUGGCUGGGAGGAAUGGACAUUGUUUUCUCUUCUUCAGUCCCUGAUCUUCUGUUAUCCUGAAAUUUAAAAAGGAUUAUAAUUUCAGACAUGGAAAAGAGAAAGACCCACUAGGUACUAAAUGAACUUUCUAAGUUGUAGCGACCUUAAUCAUGAAGUGACAUGAUAAAGCUUGCCCAGGAAGCAGAGACUUGGAAGGUAAGAUUGUAUCAACACGCUCAAGCAACGAGAUACCCCACCGACACCCAACUGUUGACAACUGAUGAAUUUGGAAAGAAUCUGAAUUCGCACGGUUCAGUAUAUCCAUACGCACAAGACAUUCUUGCAACUUUGAUGGAGAGGGAGUGAUUUCGAACGAGGUCUCUAGAGAUGGCAAAACCUAUAUAAAAAUGUACGAUAUAGAAAUGGUUCAGAUUGGUUGGUCAAUGCAAAUAUUGCCUAUAACAUAAUGAAGGUAGAAACAACCAGCCUAGAGAUUCAUCACCUUUAAAUUAUAAUGCAUCCUUAGGGUGCGAUACUUCAUGAUGCUUGAUACAUUUUCCAUCUCAUAGUAUAUUGUGAAAUACAAAGAUAUCGUUCCUGGGAUGGCAGCUCGAAGCCAGAGAGGCCACCUCAAAGAUUUAUCUCCUUGCAGUGACACAUCCUGAAAAAGAGCAACAUUCAGAACCAUGUUAGAAUAACCUGACAUGCACAUUUACCUGGAGGCUUGAAUAAAAAGGUUAGCCACGGACCUUUGGAAAUGAAAAUACACUACUUGUUUCACUCUGCACAAAAUUUUGUUCAUGGCCCUUCUUUAAGCAAUCUGGAAACUCCGUUGUUACCUCUUCUUCAUGAUUUCCAGGAUUUACAAAUCUUGGAUGGCUAAUCUUCAUUUUAAGAUUCUACAAGGACAGACAGACUUUUAAAGCUCAAAAAUAAUCCAGAGAAUAGCUUAGUGCAUCACAAUAUUCGGUAAUCAAGCAAGAAUAAGUAGAUAAGCCAGACAAUGACAAACUAAAUUAAUACACAAUAACAGAACAAAAAUAAAUUUUACUGGCUAAACGGUAGAGAAUAUGAAUGAUAAGGGUUGAUCAUAAACGAAAACUACCUUUAUCGGGAAUUCCGACUUAUUUUUUAACUCUAAAACAAGAUAACGUAGAUCUCCAGCAUACAAUUUCUCAGGCAGAUGAUCAAUUGAACCCAAAAGCCUGGGUAGACUCUGCACAGUCAAAAUUUCAUUAUGUUACGUCGUAACAAAUCUUACAAAAUUAAACCAUAGAGGAAAAGUUUGCACCUUUAUGACCAAAAAUUUCAAGGCAUCAGUGGGAGUAAGUUUGUUUUUCCGUCUUCCCUUGUUAGUUUUUGCCUUUCCAGGGGCAGAUUGGAAGUAAUGCACACCUACAACAGAACCAGACAACCUCCACCUUACACCGACUAUUUUGAGGAUACCUUCUUCACUGGGGGUAACCGUGAGUCUCACCUAGAAGAAAAAAGUUAUGACAAUAAGUCAAACGUAAACAGCAGCUGAUAAAACCAUCAGAGAUUCACCAAAGGAUACAGUAAGCAAACGGAAGAUAUAAUAGUCAGAAGUUAAAAAGGACCAAGGCAAUUCAAAACUGUGACUACAAUCAAGGUUAGUAGCAAUGAGGUAAAGCCAGCAAUCACAAGUGAAACAUCAAAACUUUUUAAACGUGUUUCUCUAUAUAUACACAAGAAGAUGAAUAAUGUCAGAUAUAGAAAGAGUAAAAAUUGCUGUUCAUAAUGAAGUAAAAACAUCCGAGGAAGAUUAUGAUGGGUAGCAAUAUGUACAUACUUCCAAAGAGUGAGUAUGCAACUUACAGAAGCUUGAGAUGCAUAAGUGCGAUGGUCUUCAUAUAUAACUUGAAGAGACGACAUAUUAAUAAAUGGUAGUUGAAGUCCCACCACCUCGUGCUUCAUUCCAGUUUUCUUCAGAAUGACAAAAAGUAAGAAGUUAUUUUGUAUAGUCAAAGAACAAAGAAUAAAGACCAGGGGUAACUAGUGGAAGCACUCUAUUAUUCUCUGUGCAGCUUCAGUAACGCGUAUAAAACAGCAGGUAUAAGCUAGGCACCUUAACAAUCUCGAAAAAGUCUCUGAGAAAAAUCUCUUGGGUUGCCUUGGAUUGGUUGCCACAGUCCAGUACUUUGAGCAUAUUUCUAACUGCAACAUCAUGCAUCCCAACAAGUGCGUACCACCUGAAAAGGUAAUUUCAUAGCAAGUCUUAGACCACAAUUUCCUAAACAUCACGCCUUAGACGUACAUUCACAACGUUUAAAACUUACCGUCCAAUAUGAAAAUGUACAUGGUCUUUGAUAUGGCUCCAUGUAGUUGAUUCAUAAACAGAGAUUGCACUUCUAUAUGUACGAAUUGCAUGGCUAACCUGAAAAAAAAAACAUAAAAAGUGUAUUCUUUAGAAUGCAAAGCAUGUACGAAGCUUGAUCCCUUUCAGCAAAAUGACAUGUACCUGAUCACAGUUUUUAUAGUGGUCUCCUGAGAGAACUAAGUGAAAUCCAUACUUGUUUAACAUCGCGGGCUUAGUUAACACGAAGCAGUAAGAAGCUUGCUCUAACAUGACUGCGGCGUGUAAUGGUUCCUGAAAAAAUAAUAAAGUUAGCAAUGGUAUAAAGUGCAUAUGUUCUGAGGCAUAAAAGAAGCACCUCUCCACAUAUGCGGAAGUAAGCAGAAGCAGCUUCUUUGUACUGGUCUCCAGCUUUUAGCAUCUCUGCCCACCAGAGCCCACAUCUCGUAGCAUUUUGAAAGCCAGACCUCCCAAGCUUCUGCAUGAGAUUACAAGGACAUGUUACAGCAUGUACUACCGCGUCACUUGCUCAAGUUAAACUAUUACUAUUUCAGUUUCAAGUUUUGCUUAUGAUAAAAAACUAAUUCAAGUAACCGAGGGACAUUCACUGAAAGAACUGUUUUAGGUGGGUUAAAAAAACAUACCAGAUAAGUGCUGAAUGCAUUUUCCAUGCAGUACUCAGCUUCCUUUUUUGACUGGUCUGAGAUGAAAUAUGCAAGUCCCAUCAUUUCCUUCCCAAGCAUACAUGAGAAGAUGAGUUAUUGAAGCGACCACAAGUAACGAGCAAUGGAAAAUAAAGACCAAAACAAUCGGUCUGAUGUGGCUAACCUAUACUAUAUGUUAGAUUAUAUAUAUAAAACGAGUAUUGAUUAAAAAUAAUGCCACCUGAAUACCUACAUAGAAACACAAUCAUAAAGCUGUGAAGCUACCUGAACACCAGCAUAGUGCUUCCAAGCUUUAUCCAGCUUGUAAUCGGUUGAUAUUAAGCGAUAGCUUGACAAUGCAAGUUCAUAAUCAUGCAACAUGAAGGCGUAGUCACCCAAAAUUCUAAUUUGAGAUUCAGUGGAGCUAAAUGUAUACCUUCAAAAAUGAAAAAAAAUAGUAGAGCUUAUGAUGACGUCAAGGAAAUCAAAAAAGGAGCAAAAAUUUCAAGAAAGCAUACAUAGAACCUUUGGUUGAAUCCGGAACAUCGUCUUUUCCUUUUCUCCACCAUAAGUUUUUAAUUUGGUUUCUAAGUCCUUUCCUUGUUGCAGAAAUCUAGUUGUGACAUAACAAAAUGCAAACUAAAUGAUAUGAAAAGAGACCAAAAGAACUAAGUAAAGCAUACAGAAAACGUAAAGUAUGUUCCCACAAGUAACUUUUUAGAAAAUCUAAAGCUAACCUGUUGAUUAAGAUCUCGAACUUUCUGCUCCAUGUGAGGGAUUAUAUGCCUCGAAGCAAACUCUUGCAUCAGAUCUUUGAUCUGCCUCGAAUAUACCAGGAGAAGUUAUAGCGGUUAAAACAUUCCAAAAUAUUCUAAAGGCGUGAAUAUCAUCCGCAAGGGAACGUUACCUCCACAAUAUCGUCGCCAGUGAGAGCACAUCCAAGUUUGUCGGCCGAAACACUCGAUUUCUUUCAGAAAAGUUAAUGAUCAAAAUGUUGAACUUACAAAAACAUGGACUGAUAAAUAAACGCUGAGCAAUAUGCUGGAUAAAAGUUCUGAUGAGUGUCUUACAAAUGAAGCCCAGGGAUUAGCCUGAUGUUCCACGUUCCCCUCUUUAGAUGAAUUAGUGCAAAGUAAGUUGCACUCAUUGUUCCCAAAUGUACUUCUCAUCUCAGACAGAACUUUAGACGUUCUACAGAAGAAAUUACAUCCCGUCAACUUAAAACUUACAUUUGACAGCCAUAUAGUUAUAGUGAGAAUCAUAUAAUAUACUAUGUAGUAAGGAACAGUUACCUCUCUGUUGUGGCAUCCUGAUUGUCAUGCACCAACAGGUAAUGCUUCAAAAUCUUUGGGUCCAUUACACCAUCAUUAAGCAAAGAAGGUAAUCUAUUGGUGUUGAAAAGAUCUACAAAUUUAUUGACAGGUUGUUCGUCUUUUGAUGAAACGACCAAGAGACCUGAAUAACACAUGUAGAAUUGAUUGGUACACAACAGAAAAGUCUAUUAGCAAACCUAGUUUAAAGUAAGAAGCCAACAAGAACGAUUUUGGAUUUUCGAUAAUGUCUUACAAGCCACAGGAUGAUCAAAAGCUUCAUGGUCUGAAAACGAGAGUGUACGGAUAAGUUCCUUAUUGUAAUACUGAAACCAUGUGGGUGCAAUUUCAGACUCUGGAUCUGCAGUGACGGAAAGACAUCAGCAUUAGAAAAGCAAUCCGGUAUGUUAAGAAAAAAUUCUCUUAAAAGGCAUAAUAUUGAAUAGAGAUACUUACUAGAGAGUAUAUCAGUAAUUUGAGGAGGAUCAGAUUUCAAAUCGUGAAAAACUUUCUCCCCAGCUUCAGUGAUAACAUGCUCUAGCCGUUGCUUUGCAACCUAGCCAUUAAGUAAACAUAAUCAAUUUUGAAGCUCAACCAAAGAUACAGAAUGGAAGAACCUCUACUACAAGCGUACGCCUAACACAAUAGUGAUCAAUAACUAGUUAUCAGAUACCUUGAUUGUUCAAGUUUAGGUACCUCUACGUUUGGUUGUUUGAUAUCGGAGGCAUUAAACAAUCUCAGCGUAAACUUCUUCAGCCUAUAAAGCUGAUCGCCUGAGGUCCGAACAGGAACUGCACAGCACAACAAUUUUCACCAUUGGAAAACGAAGAAGAGAGUCAAAACUAGUGAUCAAAUUAGAACUCACCAUCGAUAUUACUGAAGUUGCAGAAUGGCUUUAGCGUUUCCACAAAGGAUAGUCCGUUCUUGAGAAAAGUCUCUUCAACGAGAGGCGUGCAGAGAACCAUGACCACUGGACUAACCUCCUCCAAGAGCAUUUUCCCAAGCGAUGAGUUCACCGGCUCCACCAUUCUCUCCAAAUCUCUUCACUGUACGUCAAAAUUCUCUCCAAUCCGAUGUCGGAUCGGGUAGAUUUCGGAGACGGUGGGAAGCAAUACUUAGAUCUCCUUCUUUCGAGCAAAUCAGAGCUACGACGCCGUCGUUGGCAGCCGCCGGAGUUGAUGGAGAUAAAUAAGGUUUGAAGAUCUAUGUAAAUGACGGAAUGUGAAAUACGGGGAGAUGCAAUGUUUACGAUACAGUAAAACGAAGUACCGUAUCAGUUUACGGUGGAGGGAUCGUGAUCGGCGUAGUAGAGGAAGAGAUGCAGGCAAAAGUCUAUUGGAGAAGAAGAAGAAGAAGAACAAUAACAAUUUCAUCCAUUAAUUAAAUUUAUCUAAUUGCCCCUUUAUUAUGGUAAACAUUACAAUAAUGCCCAAAUUUAAUGAUCUUUCGCUAUGACUUACCAAAUCGGACCGGUUAGCUUCCGAUUAGAAUUCUUCUAUUGCGAAACCCAAACCGGGGUAAAUAUGUAAUUUGAUAAAACGCUUAAAUUCUCGUCGUGUUCGUUCCACAGCAAUGGCGGAAACUCAGUGCACAGAAACUACAAAAUCAGAUCUUGAUUCCGGGAAUCUACUUCUGAAUCCGAGCUAAAGCAUCUCUAGAUCCGAUCAGAUCCGCUCCGUUUCUCUCCUCCUUCGACUCAGUGGAAUGCAUUGCUAGAAUCUAGAGAGAACACGCGGGAGAAAACAAACCAUGAGAAUGUCAUCGGCUUCCGCCGCGGAACACCGUUCCGUUUCGCUCGGUAGCAGCGGAGGCGGCGGUCAAAGAGACGCUGAGUCCCUCCUCCGCUCGAAACCGAUGUCGGAGAUCCGGAGCGUGGAGUCGGCGACUAGGAAGAACAUCGAGGACAAGAAGGAGGAGCUCCGGCAGCUCGUCGGGACUCGGUAUCGGGAUCUGAUCGACUCAGCUGACUCGAUUGUGCACAUGAAGUCGCUCUGCGAGUCGAUCUCGGCGAACAUCUCCUCGAUCCACGGCAACAUUCGAUCCCUUUCCUCCUCCUCGGAAGCGAAAACCCCCGCGCUCGCUAUCACUGACCCGGCCCGAGUCAAUGUGUUUGGGAUCGCGUGUCGGGUCAAGUAUCUGGUGGAUACUCCGGAGAAUAUAUGGGGCUGCCUGGACGAGUCCAUGUUUCUAGAAGCUGCUGGGAGGUACAUGCGUGCUCAGCACGUGCAGCAGAGACUUGUUAAGUUAGAGGAGGUGGAUCAGAGUAAACUGUUGGCUAAUUUUCCGUUACUUGAGCAUCAGUGGCAGAUAGUGGAGGGCUUCAAGGCUCAGAUUUCUCAGAGGAGCCAUGAGCGGCUUCUUGAUCCGGGUUUAGGACUUGGGGAUUAUGUUGACGCGUUAACUGCUGUAGCAGUGGUUGAUGAGCUUGAUCCGAAGGAGGUUCUUGAGCUGUUUCUCGACUCGAGGAAGACUUGGGUUCUGCAAAAGUUGAAUGCUUGUAGUGGCGGUGAUGCUGGGAGUGUUGUUUCGGUGUUUUGUGAUGUGUUGAGUGUGGUUCAGGUUACUGUGGGGCAAGUCGGUGAGCUUUUUUUGCAAGCGUUGACUGAUAUGCCUCUGUUUUAUAAGACGAUUUUGAGUACACCUCCGGCUUCUCAGCUGUUUGGUGGGAUUCCGAAUCCGGAAGAGGAGGUUGCGUUGUGGAAAUUGUUUAGAGAUAAUUUGGAAUCUGUUAUGGUUAUUUUUGAGAAAGUUGAUAUUUCUAAGGCGUGUCUGGCAUGGUUGAGGGAAUGCGGUGGACAUAUUGUUGGUAAGGUUAGUGGGAAGCGUUUGAUUGAAGCUAUUGUUACUGGUGCAGAGCUUGGAUCAGCGGAAAAGUUGAUAAGAGAGACCAUGGAUAGUAAAGAGGUAUUGAGUGGUAGUUUAGAUUGGCUUAAAAGUGUUUUUGGGUCUGAGAUAGAGCUGCCUUGGAAUAGAAUCCGGGAGCUUGUUCUAGCAGACGAUUUGAACCUAUGGGAUGAAAUAUUUGAGGAGGCAUUUGUGGAAAGAAUGAAAUCCAUUAUUGACUCUAGAUUUGAGGAUUUGGCUAAAGCUGUCAAUGUGGCAGAGUUGGUUCAUGCUUAUAGCGAGAUCACUGGUGAGAAGAUCAACUUCCAAGCAUACUUAAACAGACCUUCUACAGGUGGUGGUGUCUGGUUCAUCGAGCCUAACGCUAGGAAACCUGGUUUUAUUGCCGGAAACAAAAUGUCACCUGAAGAAAGCGACUUCCAAAGUUGUCUAACGGCGUACUUUGGUCCUGAAGUUAGCCAAAUCAGAGAUGCAGUUGAUCACCGCUGCCAGAAUGUUUUAGAAGACCUCCUAAGCUUCUUUGAGUCAGAAAAGGCAGGUCCGAGGUUAAAGGAUCUUGCUCCAUACGUACAGAGUAAAUGUUAUGACAGUGUCUCAGCACUUCUCGCAGAUGUAGAUAAGGAACUCGAAUCUCUCUGCGCUGCCAUGAAGAAAGGAAACAACGACAGCGAAGCAAUUCCACCUGCUAUAAUAAUUGAGAAAUCGCUUUUUAUGGGACGCCUUUUGUUUGCAUUGCUAAACCACUCAAAACACCUUCCCUUGAUUCUCGGUUCUCCAAGGUUGUGGUGUAGAGACAUUAUGACUGCAGUUUCUGAUAAGUUGUCAUCCUUGUUGAGACAACCAAGAUUUGGCUCGAAUACUGCAGGGACUCCUGACAGCCCUGGAAAGCUGUUGCAUACCGAUCUUAGGAAGCAGAGUUCGUUAGCUGUUGCGGCACUACUUAAGGCAGACGAGAAGACAAGUCCAAAAUUCGAAGAGCUUAAUAAAACUAUGCGAGAUAUGUGCAUUAAGGCUCAUACAUUGUGGAUACAGUGGUUAUCGGAUGAGCUCUCCGCUAUUCUCUUGCGGGAUCUUAGGAUUGACGAUGGACUGUCUGCUACAACUCCUUUAAGGGUAACUAAAAGCUGAUUCUUAUCCUUAUUUUUCUUAGUUGUCGUCUCUCUCCUGCAUUGAUAUUAGAUAUUGCUGACUAAUAUUCAUAGUUAGUUGUUCGCUUUCUUUGUUUUUGGUGGAAAUAUUUCCAGGAACUACUUUAUAUCUUGAUUCUUUGAAGUUCAAUGAGAUAGUUUAGUCUUGCUCUUUUGUUGUGUCUGAACUCAUCUUUGAAGUGAUAAUACAGGGUUGGGAGGAGACAAUAGUCAAGGAAGAGCAGGGCGAGAGUGAGUUGAAGAUAUCACUUCCGUCCUUGCCUUCGCUCUAUAUAAUUUCAUUUCUCUGUCGGGCAUCAGAAGAGAUUCAUCGAAUUGGAGGCCACGUACUGGAUAAGUCAAUUUUGCAAAAGUUUGCUUCAAGCCUGUUGGAGAAGGUGCGUUGUCUUGUCUCUGUUUACUUACUUUCCUGUGAUUAUUUUCUACAUGCUGCAGAAGUGUUUCUGGCAAGGAACAAUGUUCUAUUAAAAAUAUUUGUGAUAGUUAUUCCCUUCUUCACACUUGUUCCCUUUCAUCAGUAAAUAUCUCCAAGCUAGUGAUUGCUUAUAAAAAUGAUUUUUUUUUCAAUGUUCCAUUGUACAAUGCAGAUCAUCAUUAUUUAUGAGGAUUUCUUAUCUGCCAGGGAGGCCAACGAACCCCAAAUUUCAGAGAAGGGGGUUUUACAAAUUUUACUGGAUUUGAGAUUUGCAUCGGACAUUCUUUCUGGGGGUGAUACAAGCACCAAUGUGGAGAUACAACCAAAGAUCACAAUGAACAGAUCAGCUUUCAGGCGAAAGCAGGGCCAACAGCAAACAAAGUCAGUCAACAGAGGUCGCAUUGAUGGAGUAAUCUCCCAACUGACCCAAAAGUUGGAUCCUAUAGACUGGCUCACGUAAGGAACCUUAUCCCUAAACUAUGACCAAGCACAUCUUUACUAACAAGUUCAUGGGAAUCAUCUCAUCUUAUCGUUUAUUGUCUCAAUCAUUCUCUGAUGCUUGUGUUUUGAAAUGUCUAAAAAAGGUACGAGCCUUAUCUUUGGGAGAACGAAAAGCAGUCAUACCUACGCCACGCAGUACUAUUUGGAUUCUUUGUGCAACUAAACCGAAUGUACACAGAUACUUCCCAGAAACUACCAAGUAACUCAGAGUCAAAUAUCAUGCCAUGCUCCACAGUUCCCCGCUUCAAAUACCUUCCCAUAAGGUAAGCUUUUCUUCUUCCACACCUGAAACUAUUUGUAGCCUUGUGGGAAAAAUGGUUUCUCAUAUCCGGUUAAUUCAGCGCUCCGGCUCUGUCCUCUAGAAGUACAAAUAAGGUCUCCACUCCAGUUACAUCAAAUGAAAGUUCGUCAAGAAACUCAUGGAAUGCAUUUACAAAUGGCGAGCUUUCUCAAACAAGUGAUUUGGAAGAUGACUCCAGUUUCGGCGUGGCUUCCCCGUUCUUAAAGUCUUUCAUGCAGGUACAGUCUAGUCUCCUCGGUUGAUCAGUGGCUCAAUAUUUUUUCAUAAUCUGUUCAAUAUCGUAAGAUCAUGUAAUAUAUGUUUCAGGCUGGUAGUAGAUUUGGGUCAAUACUAAGUGACGGACAAGUUGGAAUAUUCAAGGAUAGAUCAGCAGCCGCUAUGUCGACAUUUGGGGAUAUAAUACCAUCUCAAGCAGCCGGUUUACUCUCUUCUUUCACAACCACCAGGUACGAGUGAUGAUAUGACGAUCUUCGGUUUUGUGAGUCUAAACCGAUGAUGAUUGCAGCAGUUGAGAUAUCUGCCAUUAUAGAAGUUUUUACAUUAAAGAAGAGAACAAGUUUUGUAACUCUGUUUGAUUUAUUGUUUCAUGUAAUUAAGAGAUUUGGUUCUACAAAAAUCCUCAGACUGAAUACAAUCAAACCCUCAUACAUAUAAAGUUUUAAUAUCAUUGCAAAAAAAACUGAUUAAGGUAUUAACGUCUAGCUUUCUCAAUGAGAGGCUUGAGCUUCUUCUUGUCUGCAAGAAUCUUGAGGAAGUUGAAGAGGAAAGGGACAUAGUUAUGUUUCCUCCUCAAGUUCUCUUUCUUCCAGUUCUUGGCCCUCUCUUCCUCCAUUACAAUCUUCUGCGACACUGUCUCGAUGCCGACAUUGACUUCAGAAAGAGACUUAUCCAGAGCCUCGUAGCUGCUCUUCUCAGCGUACUUAUCAGCUUGCAGUGCACCCACCUGCUGCAGAAUCCUCUCCCGCUUCAUCUGAUACUCUUUCAGCUCAGCUCGGUACAUCUCUUUCCUGUUCUUAACCACAGCCAAGAGACUAAACCGGAUCUCGUUCUGGAGAUACCGGUCAAUCCUCUCUUGCACCACAGGUUGGACCAUUUUGAGCCACUCGAUUCCUUCUGGCUCACCGAGACAUUGUCCAAGGCUGAUGGGUCCUUCUUUAAGACCAUCUAGCUCGUAUAAGAUACCAUCGACAGGUAAGUAGCUGAUGUAGUGAUACACAUCAUCAUCAUCCUCUUCCUUUUUCUUCCUCCUAGCAGAUAACUCAUCCUCGUCCGUGGUGGUGGAAGAUGAGUCAGGCCUAGCAAAGGUGUUGUGAGCCGCACGUAUCGCCUCGUUGUUGCUGAUGGCUAAACCUUUGAGCUCAGGUGGGAAGUCUUUAGCGAACUCUUUCAGUUCAGACAGUUCAGAACCGAUCUCGAUACCCGAGGAGUUCAUGAGGACAGACAGUAAGGCUUGUGUAGCACAAGCAUUUGACGCGUUAACUGCUGUAGCAGUGGUUGAUGAGCUUGAUCCGAAGGAGGUUCUUGAGUUGUUUCUCGACUCGAGGAAGACUUGGGUUCUGCAAAAGUUGAAUGCUUGUAGUGGUGAUGAUGCUGGGAGUGUUGUUUCGGUGUUUUGUGAUGUGUUGAGUGUGGUUCAGGUUACUGUGGGACAAGUCGGUGAGCUUUUUUUGCAAGCGUUGACUGAUAUGCCUCUGUUUUAUAAGACGAUUUUGAGCACCCCUCCGGCUUCUCAGCUGUUUGGUGGGAUUCCGAAUCCGGAAGAGGAGGUUGCGCUGUGGAAAUUGUUUAGAGAUAAUUUGGAAUCUGUUAUGGUUAUCUUUGAUAAAGUUGAUAUUUCUAAGGCGUGCCUGACUUGGUUGAGGGAAUGCGGUGGAAAGAUUGUUGGUAAGGUUAGUGGGAAGCGUUUGAUUGAAGCUAUUGUUACUGGUGCGGAGCUUGGAUCAGCGGAGAAGUUGAUCAGAGAGACCAUGGAUAGUAAAGAGGUAUUGAGUGGUAGUUUAGAUUGGCUUAAAAGUGUUUUUGGGUCUGAGAUAGAGCUGCCUUGGAAUAGAAUCCGGGAGCUUGUUCUAGCAGACGAUUUGAACCUAUGGGAUGAAAUAUUUGAGGAGGCAUUUGUGGAAAGAAUGAAAUCCAUUAUUGACUCUAGAUUUGAGGAUUUGGCUAAAGCUGUCAAUGUGGCAGAGUUGGUUCAUGCUUAUAGCGAGAUCACUGGUGAGAAGAUCAACUUCCAAGCAUACUUAAACAGACCUUCUACAGGUGGUGGUGUCUGGUUCAUCGAGCCUAACGCUAGGAAACCUGGUUUUAUUGCCGGAAACAAAAUGUCACCUGAAGAAAGCGACUUCCAAAGUUGUCUAACGGCGUACUUUGGUCCUGAAGUUAGCCAAAUCAGAGAUGCAGUUGAUCACCGCUGCCAGAAUGUUUUAGAAGACCUCCUAAGCUUCUUUGAGUCAGAAAAGGCAGGUCCGAGGUUAAAGGAUCUUGCUCCAUACGUACAGAGUAAAUGUUAUGACAGUGUCUCAGCACUUCUCGCAGAUGUAGAUAAGGAACUCGAAUCUCUCUGCGCUGCCAUGAAGAAAGGAAACAACGACAGCGAAGCAAUUCCACCUGCUAUAAUAAUUGAGAAAUCGCUUUUUAUGGGACGCCUUUUGUUUGCAUUGCUAAACCACUCAAAACACCUUCCCUUGAUUCUCGGUUCUCCAAGGUUGUGGUGUAGAGACAUUAUGACUGCAGUUUCUGAUAAGUUGUCAUCCUUGUUGAGACAACCAAGAUUUGGCUCGAAUACUGCAGGGACUCCUGACAGCCCUGGAAAGCUGUUGCAUACCGAUCUUAGGAAGCAGAGUUCGUUAGCUGUUGCGGCACUACUUAAGGCAGACGAGAAGACAAGUCCAAAAUUCGAAGAGCUUAAUAAAACUAUGCGAGAUAUGUGCAUUAAGGCUCAUACAUUGUGGAUACAGUGGUUAUCGGAUGAGCUCUCCGCUAUUCUCUUGCGGGAUCUUAGGAUUGACGAUGGACUGUCUGCUACAACUCCUUUAAGGGUAACUAAAAGCUGAUUCUUAUCCUUAUUUUUCUUAGUUGUCGUCUCUCUCCUGCAUUGAUAUUAGAUAUUGCUGACUAAUAUUCAUAGUUAGUUGUUCGCUUUCUUUGUUUUUGGUGGAAAUAUUUCCAGGAACUACUUUAUAUCUUGAUUCUUUGAAGUUCAAUGAGAUAGUUUAGUCUUGCUCUUUUGUUGUGUCUGAACUCAUCUUUGAAGUGAUAAUGCAGGGUUGGGAGGAGACAAUAGUCAAGGAAGAGCAGGGCGAGAGUGAGUUGAAGAUAUCACUUCCGUCCUUGCCUUCGCUCUAUAUAAUUUCAUUUCUCUGUCGGGCAUCAGAAGAGAUUCAUCGAAUUGGAGGCCACGUACUGGAUAAGUCAAUUUUGCAAAAGUUUGCUUCAAGCCUGUUGGAGAAGGUGCGUUGUCUUGUCUCUGUUUACUUACUUUCCUGUGAUUAUUUUCUACAUGCUGCAGAAGUGUUUCUGGCAAGGAACAAUGUUCUAUUAAAAAUAUUUGUGAUAGUUAUUCCCUUCUUCACACUUGUUCCCUUUCAUCAGUAAAUAUCUCCAAGCUAGUGAUUGCUUAUAAAAAUGAUUUUUUUUUCAAUGUUCCAUUGUACAAUGCAGAUCAUCAUUAUUUAUGAGGAUUUCUUAUCUGCCAGGGAGGCCAACGAACCCCAAAUUUCAGAGAAGGGGGUUUUACAAAUUUUACUGGAUUUGAGAUUUGCAUCGGACAUUCUUUCUGGGGGUGAUACAAGCACCAAUGUGGAGAUACAACCAAAGAUCACAAUGAACAGAUCAGCUUUCAGGCGAAAGCAGGGCCAACAGCAAACAAAGUCAGUCAACAGAGGUCGCAUUGAUGGAGUAAUCUCCCAACUGACCCAAAAGUUGGAUCCCAUAGACUGGCUCACGUAAGGAACCUUAUUCAUAAACUCUGAACAUGUCACAUGUUUACUAUUUUGUCCGUUCUAAGAAAUUCAUGGGAAUCUUGUGGUCUUAUCGUUUACUGUCUCAAUUAUUUUCUGAUUCUAGUAUAUUUUGAAAUGUGUCAAAAAAAGGUACGAGCCUUAUCUCUGGGAGAACGAAAAGCAGUCAUACCUACGCCACGCAGUACUAUUUGGAUUCUUUGUGCAACUAAACCGAAUGUACACAGAUACUUCCCAGAAACUACCAAGUAACUCAGAGUCAAAUAUCAUGCCAUGCUCCACAGUUCCCCGCUUCAAAUACCUUCCCAUAAGGUAAGCUUUUCUUCUUCCACACCUGAAACUAUUUGUAGCCUUGUGGGAAAAAUGGUUUCUCAUAUCCGGUUAAUGCAGCGCUCCGGCUCUGUCCUCUAGAAGUACAAAUAAGGUCUCCACUCCAGUUACAUCAAAUGAAAGUUCGUCAAGAAACUCAUGGAAUGCAUUUACAAAUGGCGAGCUUUCUCAAACAAGUGAUUUGGAAGAUGACUCCAGUUUCGGCGUGGCUUCCCCGUUCUUAAAGUCUUUCAUGCAGGUACAGUCUAGUCUCCUCGGUUGAUCAGUGGCUCAAUAGUUUUUCAUAAUUUGUUCAAUAUCGUAAGAUCAUGUAAUAUAUGUUUCAGGCUGGUAGUAGAUUUGGGUCAAUACUAAGUGACGGACAAGUUGGAAUAUUCAAGGAUAGGUCAGCAGCCGCUAUGUCGACAUUUGGUGAUAUAAUACCAUCUCAAGCAGCCGGUUUACUCUCUUCUUUCACAACCACAAGGUACGAGUGAUGAUGAUGAUCUUCGGUUUUGUGACUAAACCUAUGAUGAUUGCAGCAGCUGAGAUAUCUGCCAUUAAAGAAGUUUUUACAUAAACGAAGAGUACAAGUUUUGUAAUUGUGUUCGAUUUAUUGUUUCAUGUAAUUAAGAGAUUUGGUUCUACAAAAAUCCUCAAGACUGAUACAAUCAAACCCUCAUACAUAUAAAGUUUUAAUAUCCUUGCAAAAAACUGAUUAAGGUAUUAACGUCUAGCUUUCUCAAUGAGAGGCUUGAGCUUCUUCUUGUCUGCAAGAAUCUUGAGGAAGUUGAAGAGGAAAGGGACAUAGUUAUGUUUCCUCCUCAAGUUCUCUUUCUUCCAGUUCUUAGCCCUCUCUUCCUCCAUUACAAUCUUCUGCGACACUGUCUCGAUGCCGACAUUGACUUCAGAAAGAGAUUUAUCCAGAGCCUCGUAACUGCUCUUCUCGGCGUACUUAUCAGCUUGCAGUGUACCCACCUGCUGCAGAAUCCUCUCCCGCUUCAUCUGAUACUCUUUCAGCACAGCUCGGUACAUCUCUUUCCUGUUCUUAACCACAGCCAAGAGACUAAACCGGAUCUCGUUCUGGAGAUACCGGUCAAUCCUCUCUUGCACCACAGGUUGGACCAUUCUGAGCCAUUCGAUUCCGUCUGGCUCACCGAGACAUUGUCCAAGGCUGAUGGGUCCUUCUUUAAGACCAUCUAGCUCGUAUAAGAUACCAUCGACGGGUAAGUAGCUGAUGUAAUGAUACACAUCAUCAUCUUCCUCUUCCCUUUUCUUCCUCCUAGCAGAUAACUCAUCCUCUUCCGUGGUGGUGGAAGAUGAGUCAGGCCUAGCAAAGGUGUUGUGAGCUGCACGUAUCGCCUCGUUGUUGCUGAUGGCUAAGCCUUUGAGCUCAGGUGGAAAGUCUUUGGCGAAUUCUUUAAGUUCUGUUAGUUCAGAACCAAUCUCGAUACCAGAAGAGUUCAUGAGGACAGACAGUAAGGCUUGUGUAGCACAAGCAUUGUUGAUUAUCUGCAAGAAAACACACAUACUGUUAAAAACCGUCCCCAUGAGUCAGAAAUCUAAAUGUGGGGGACAGUGAGUGGGACCUGGCUGGCGAAGAAGAAGUUUGGGUUUGGUUCAGUGAUGACAACACGAGACUCACUUUCCUCAGGACGCCACUUGUAGAGCAAUACUAAUCCGUAUACAGGUCUAAACAAAGAAGAACACAAGAGUAAUGACUAUGUUUUUGUUGGAAACAAGAAGAAACAAAAGAGCGUGUAUAAUAAUAAUACUAGUGAACUAACCUUAUUUCAUCAAGAGAAGUAAUGUCCAAUGAAUACAGUUCUUCAACCUGCACACCUUUCACUUGCAUUUGUUGUAUAAUCUCCGUGAAAACACCUAAACAUUAUGAACAACAAUAAACAAUAUAGCAAAGCUUGUGUCUUUUACACAGACAGACACUAUCGACUUUAGUAUAUGACCAAUCAUUUGAGAUGAACAAUAAGGAGCUAUUAGACAAUAAACCCCAAAUUUGAGAAGAAGAUACCAGGAUCGGAUUCUACAGGGAGCCAAGACAUGAUUUCACGAUGACGACUCGCCGCGCGCACAGGAGAAAUGAAGAUAAGGAUUGAGAAAUUGGAGAUUAGGAUUUGCCUAACGGGAUUCGCUAAUCUCCUUCGAAUUCAUCGUCUUCUCUAGACAGCUUGUUGAGUCAAUCAAGAGUCUCUCUCUACCACUGGUGUGGUCUCGACUUUUUUUUUUUUUUUUUUUUUUUUUUUAACAACUGUGUGUGUGUGUGGUCUCUCGACUGUCCUCGUCUUCUCGCAUAUAAACUGAGUCCAAUUGAACCGAAGAAUUAGAUUGAAAUAAACCGGUAUUGAUUGUGUUAUAUAUUAAAAAAUAAGGAUCAAACCGAAUCAAUCACAUUUUUAAUUUUAUUAAAAUAGCCGAACAAAACCGAUAGCUGACCGGAGAAGAGAGAAAAACUAGAUCUACUUUGGGACCGGCGUACGGCCGGCGCGUGAACGCAUGUGCCGUCGCCGGAGCCCUUUCUCUUUCGCCGAAGUUGUUCCUCUUAUCCCCUUUUUCGCCAUCCUGUCAACGACCGCUUUGUUCGAGCUUUGGUACCGCAACCAUCCCUAACGGUGGCUUGGCUCUUGGAGUAAUGACGCGCUCGAUUGGAGGUCCACGGUGGAGAGGGAGCGCCUUGCAUGCUCAGUUGUGGUGUUUUUCCGGGAGAUGGAAGCUAAUCUAGCUCUGUCGUCGUCGGUUUUAUGCGGGAGGUGGAGGCUUACUCAGAUCCACUGUCGCCGUCUUUAGCUUCCGGGAAGGGGAGUCUCCUUCAGUUCCGCCUUCGCCGGCUUUUAGUUACGAAGAGUGGAGGCUUGCAAAGCUCCGCGUUGCCGCUUAGAAACCUGGUGUCCUUUGGGUUAAGGUUACUAGUUCGAUUUGUGUCAAGUUCGGUGAGGUUGCCGUUAAGGUGGGUGUUUGGGUCACUGCGGAUGAGAUAUCGUUAGACGAUGAAGCUCUCCGGCGAUGGUGACGACUUUCAAGGGAAGAAAAGCAGUGGUUCUCGGUUCGCUUGUCUAGGUUUGAAGUGAUUCAAAGUCGGUGGAGAUCUCGGUGAUCGAUUGAACUCGCCGGCGUGAAAACAAUGUGGUGAAGAACGGUUAUGGGUUCGUUGGAGGCUUGUCAGUUAAUGAGCUCCGACGAACGAGGAUUUCGAUGGUGUUGUUCUGGCGGCGUAGAGGCGGUUACAAUGCGUGACGCGUUAAUGGAGCAGAUCUCUCCACGUGUCGAGCCAGCCUCCUCGACACGCUAUCCGACUGGGUCGUGCGGCUUCUGAGUUUGGGCCGAGGGCCCGUUUAGUUUUUUCAUUUAGCCCGUAAUCUUUUGGGCUUGUAGCCGUCUUUUGCUGUAAUCGGGCUUCGGCUGUUUGCUGGGCCUGACCCAUUUAUCUAAUUUAAAAAAACUUUGACGAGUUUCAACCUCUUUGGUCUUGUGAAUUUGUACAGUAGUUGGUUGUGUUCUUAACCACUAUGAAAGAAAACAUUAGCUGUCCAGUAAUCAACUUUAGUUUAAUUUUGAAACCGUGUUUCCGCCUUGAUUAAGCAAAACAAACCCUUUCGCAACUGAAACAAUCAUACAACAACCACAUCUCUUGCGUGGUUAUAACGAUUAAAGAAUCAGUCACAUCUCUUGCUUUACGCGUUUACGUUUCACGCCUAUCCAGAAAAAUAUACACCAAACGUAAAAAAAACAAACACAACACGAAACAAUCAAGAUCUCAAUUAAACUGUAUUCACACCACCAUAUCACAGAGUUACACAAUUAUAGAAGCAGAUUCAAUAUUGCAUCAAGUUAUAAACCAAACCAAAGUCAGCUUUCCUUGGCCUGAUUAAACCGAGCAACGAGGCUCUCCACAGGCACUUUAACGGCAUCCUUCCGCAUACCAACAUCCGAACAGAGACGUAUAGCAUUACUAGCCCAAGGACUCACCAUACGCGCCACGCACGCAGCUGCACUCACCGAAUUAGCCUGACCGCUUCUCCCAAGCACAUAGCUUCUCCCAACCACCAAACCCGUCUUACAAUACAUCGCGAAAUCCUCACAAUUAUUCUCGAACACAUGAUACUCACCAAACCCAUUUCUCAACAAAAGAAACUCCGCGCGAGAGAUCACUUCCUCCGAAGGAUCCGAAGCCGCCGUCGUGCAGGUACCUCCUCUUAGCUUGGACAUGAACAGAGCCGGAGAGACGCUGUACUCGAAGCGAAGGAGGUCUCUUCCGGCGAGAAAGCAAUCGAGACAAGAAGAGAUAACUCCAUGCGUGUUGGAAUGCUUUCCUCCACAGUUAGGACAAGGGUUGUCUCCUCCGUGAUUGGUAAUAGAGCUGACAAUGAGCUUGUCUAGAAAAGUUCCCGUUCCGAUUUCAAGACCGCCUCCACGUGUGAAAUGAAUGACCUUUCCGUCUCCUAUGUAGAUUCCUGUGAGAUUGCAAAUAUAAAGUUCGGAUCUUUGAUAAACCCAGAAGAGAGAUGGAGAGAUAGAGAAGAGGAGGAGAUGGGUUACCGUGAUGGGAAUAGAUAUAAGCGUUACGCCAUGAGUAGAUGUGAUCUCCUGGUUUCAGAUCGUCUUUAGAGAUCUUGUUGGAGAAUAAUCCUAUCUUCUCUAGAAGAAUGGAUUCCAUCUCUGGCUGGAUCAAUGUGGGUUCUCUAGAGAACUUUUUUCUAAGAUUGUUGGUUUUAAUAACCAAACCAUUAAAGUCAACUGGCUUUGUAUUGGCUUAGCUGCAUAACCCAAAGUCAACGAAUUAACGUAUCCCCGAAGAACUUUUAAAAACAUAUAAAUUUAUAUUUAAUAAAUUAACAUAAAUUUUAAUUUAGGCUAGUGUAAAAUAUAACAUAGUUCGAUUAAAUAAUAAAAUAAUAAAUUUUUGAAAAAAUUAGAAAAAUAUAUUGGAGUUGUUCACUAAAUUGCAAAUUAAUAAUCUCUCCGUUUCGUAAUACUUGAUGUUUUGUAUUAGUGCACAAAGAUUAAGAAAAUUAACUUUUUGUAAAAAAAAAUAUUUUAAAAAAUAUAAUUUUAAAAUCAAUGAACCAAUUACUAAAAAAACUUUAAAAUCUAAUUGGUUGAACAAUUUUCAAUAAAGUUAAAUUAAUCUUAAAAUUUCAAAACUUCAUGUAAAUUAUUACAAAAUAAUUUUUUUAAAACAUCAUCUAUAUUGAAACGGAGGGAGUAAUUGAUAUAUACAAAAUUUGUAUAAAGUUAUAUAAACAUAAUUUUUCUUUUAGAAUGAUCUAUAAGAAAAUUUAAAUAUUAUUUUAUCGAAUUACAUUUAAAAGUGCAUUAACUUUCUUCAGAAAAUGCAUCCAAAAAUGAAUUACAUCUAGGUGACUUAUUGAUAACUCAGAAAAAGCCUUUGUUUAUAUUCAGCUACAUAUACACACAAGGUGUUGAAGAAGAUAAAGAGACAAAAGCAUGUUGCACUCUCGUCUGAUUGAAAUGGGUUAUGAUCAGAAAACCUUCUUGUGUGGAGAGCUUUGUUUGGUUAUUGUCUUAUUGAUGAUGACUAGUACUGUAACACUAAAUUCCAAAUCAACCAACGGAGCCACACUAACGGUAGGUAAGUGAUCAAACACCAUUCAUCUUCCACUUCUGUGUGUUGUUUUUUGGUUUUUCAAGUUUUUUCAUUUAAUGACAUGUCAUUCUCAUAUGACUCUAAACAACUGAUGUGUCAAGUGCUGGAGAGAACCUUGCUGUAUUAUUGUGUUGAUUCCACCUCCGAAUUGUGUAGAAGGCAUUCGAGUGAUGGGCCAAAUCAUUGGGCCUAAACAAAAUUACUAAAAUAUAUAUAAUCUUCGUCCGUCUCUCUGUUAGACCAAAAUCGCUUAUAGGAGAGAGGGUAGAAGAGACGAGAAAGAUAAAUGAGGCCGAUGCAACUGGAUAUGUUGGCGGAGAUGGAUGAUGCAGGUUCUUCGAUGGCCAUGGACGUAGAUGACAUCGAAGCCAUGGAGAUGCUCAGCGAAGGAGGACUUAUCUCUGAGAACAAGCUCGCCGACGCCGAUUUCUUCAACAAGUUCGACGACGAUUUCGACGACUCCGAUAUCAACUGAUCUUCUUUAGCUCUCUAUUGUUUCAGAUUUCCCCUUUGUUUGGUUGAGUUUUUUUAUGUAAUUUCUGGAAGAAUCUAUAUUCCCCCGUUGAUUAGGGAUUCUGUGUUUGCGAAUCGAAGUUCCUAUCUGAACAUUAAGUAUGAUCUCUACAUGUCUUGUGGGUUUUGCUUACUAUCCUCUUGGAACAGAUUUAACAUUUGGGUACCUUAAUUGUUUUGCCUUUGUUUCUUUCUGGAGUUGGAAUCUGUUUUUGUUUUCUUGCUAAUUUAGCUUCAACCUAAUCUCUUAAGGUGUUUCUCGUUGUAUCUGAGAUGUGCAUAGACAUAAACUUCGUUUAUUAGACACAGAAGAGAUGUUAGAAGCGCCGCGAGACCAAGAAAUGAUUCUUUCCUCUUGUGUGAGGUUUUUCACUUUACUCUCUUUCCGGUUCACUACAAACCACGACUCUUGCCUCUUGGUUUGCAUUUGAUUUUUUCGGUUUUUGGUUUUAAAAGGUUUAAUUCGGGUAGAGAACAUCCAGUUCAGUUUUGUUUGGUUUGGUUAAGUGUUGGAAAGGUUGAUCUACCUUUUUGAGUUUAGUGAUUAGAUACAACUAAAAUUUUCUAUAUUGUUUCGUACUGAUUAGAUAAUGAUUAUUGAGCAUAAACAAACUUGAUAUUUAAAAGAGAUUAAUAUCCAAUAUUUAAAACAGAGAGAUUAAUAUCCAAGUUCUAAAGUUGUGGAAUAUAAAAUAUAUAUAUAUAUAUCCAACUCAUUAAUAUGAAUACCCACAUUCCAUUUCAUCCCCAAAAAUAUGAAUACCAACGAGCUCCACAAAGUGUGAAAUAGCACGCCUUCCCAGUGGAAUAUUGAGAAAACCACAUUGCCUCCACAGCAGCACGCUAUACUGAAGUUGAACGUAGUGGAUUUCACGCUUAGUCCCUCUGCCAGUAAGAGCUUCACAUGGUUAGAAGACCAAGUAGAGUUAACUUCCUCCAAAGUUGGACAGUGAAAUCCAUGUUACAAUAAAGCAUAAGCUCAGUGGACCAAGAAAAAAAAAACAAUUGAACAAGCCAAACAUGAAAGGAAGGAAAAAAGAACUAAUCGUAGACUGCCCUGGAUGUACAAACAAAUAAGGAUAGGAGGGAAGUCCUAUAGCAAGAGGAGAAUGUAUCAGUUGAUCCAAAAGUGCCUCUUCAAAAUGGACAUGAGAUGAAUAUUCAGUAGGAACACUCAUAUGAACAAGCAUCUCUGUCACAGCAAACAGAGGUGGAUCCUGUAAAAAAAAUAUAAGAACAUUCCUAUCACACCAGAUAGAAGUGGAUCCUAUUAAAAAUAUAUAAGAACAUAAACACAAUGAAUAAAAUCGGUAAGUUACCGGAGCAGAACUUUGAACAGUCCAUCUUGCAAGGCAUCUGCUACCAUUUCAAGCAAAGGUAUAGCUCAAGAAUCCAUAAAAAUACCUGUGACAUUGACUUUCGUGCAGAGAGUGCUAAAACUGAAUGAGUAACCAACAGCGGUAAAUAGGAGCUCAAUUCUGCAGUGAAAGAAAAACAUGGAAUGAAGGAAAAACAACUAACCGUAGACUGUUCUUCUGGUUAUUCAUACAAAGAAGGAUACGAGGGAAGUCAUAUAGCAAUAGGAGAGUGAAUCAAAUGAUCCAUAAGUGUCUCUUCGAAUUGGGCAUGAGAUGAGUAUUCACUGGGAUAAUUGAUAUGCACAAUCACUGCACAUGAUUCUGUCACGGCAAUGUCUUGGCUAUUACAAUACUCAUCUCUUGCCAAAUUUGAACAAUCACUAGGAAGAGGCGAAAACUUACUUUUCUCUAAAACGGCUAACAUGUAUAAAAUGAAUCAAUAUUGUAUGAAUUGAUACAUGUUCCAGUAUUAUAAUAUUUUAUGUAUAUGUUUUCACGUGAAUAAGAUGAAAAUCAUGGUAUUAUGUAUUACAUGAAAGUGUAUUAUGACCCACUGUUAAAUGAUCACAAUAUUAUUAGAUGUGGUUUCCUUUUUGGUACUUAUGAUGUUGUGCAGAAAAUAUUAAGCGAAAAUUAUGGUGGGUUUAAUGUAUUGAUUUAACCGUAAAAACAAAAAAAUUGAAUGACCAAUUUCAACGAUAUACUUAUGAUGUUGUGCAGAAAAUAUUAAGCGAAAAUUAUGGUGGGUUUAAUGUAUUGAUUUAACCGUAAAAACAAAAAAAUUGAAUGACCAAUUUCGACGAUUAUAAAUAUAUCAUCAUACAACAAAAAAAAAUACUACAUAUUAUUUGUUUUUUAGAUGAUGCAUUCCAUGAUUUCAAAACACUAUUUUGAUACUAAGUAUUAAAAUAUAAAGUUUUGAAAAAAUUGGUUGGCCAACAUAAUUCUCCUUCCUCUUGUCUCUAGAUCUUCUUAUCGAAUCCAAAUAACUUUAACACUAGACCCUGAUCCGCGCGCCAGCGCUGGUAUGAAUUUUCAGUUUUUAAUUAUUUAUUUUAUUAAAUAAUGUAUUUGUAAUAUUCGUUCAUAUUAUAUUCAUUAAGUAAAUAUUUUAUUUUUGCAUCUUAAACUAUCUAUUUUUUUACGAAUGUGUGAUAUCAUAUAAAAAAAUAUAAAAAAAUGAGUAUAUAGAGUUAAUUAGAUAAUUGUAAAAACAGAAAUAUUUCUUUCGUGUGCGAUAUCAUAUAAAUAAUGAUCCGUCCAGUUAACAAAAAUCAUGAUUUUUUUAUGUGUAAUUUUUUUUAUUUUGACAAUUUCUUUAAAACUAUAUUAAAUUUUACAUAUUUUAAUUAGAAUAUUUUUAAUAUCUUUACCUUUUUAUUUGAAAUGCAACUCAAUAUUUUUUAAAAAAUUAUAACAAAAUAUUUAAAAAAUAUUUUUAGAAUUUGUUUGAAAAAUAUGAAAAUUACAUUUUAAAUUAAAAUCAUCCUAAACUAUGAUAAGUUUUGAUGUAAACGAAAACUCAAAUUAUGUCAAAAAUAAUUAUAUUCAAUGAUAAUAACAAUUUAAAUUAAUUAUUUUUAAAAAAUACAUUUACAUUGCCUGAACCUACUAGUCAUCAUGGCUUACAGUUCCAACUCUUAUGGUCUUGUGAAUUGAACAGUUGGCGUGGUGUUCUUGGCCACUAUAAUAAACUUUAAUUAGUCAUCACGGCUUACAGUUCCAACUCUUAUGGUCUUGCGAAUUGAACAGUUUAACCAACCAGUAAUCAACUUAAAUUUAAUUUAGAAACCGUGUUCUUCUUGAUUACGCAAAAAUAAGACAAUCUCAAGCGUGGUUAUAACGAGUAAAGAAUCAACCACAUCUCUUUCUUUACGCGUUUACUUUUUUACACAACACAAACAAUGAAGAUCUCAAUUAAACUGUAUUCACACAUCAUUAUCAACCACAUCUCUUUCUUUACGCGUUUACGUUUUUACACAACACAAACAAUGAAGACCUCAAUUAAACUGUAUUCACACAUCAUACAAUAGAGUUACACAAUUCAAAGAAUUUAGAAGCAGAUUCAAUCUGGCAUUAACCAACAAUCAAAUACACACAUUGCACACAAUCAGAACCAAACCAAACUCAGCUCUCCUUUGCCAAUGUAUCAGCCUGAUUAAACCGAGCAACGAGGCUCUCCACAGGCACUUUAACAGCAUCACUCCUCAUACCAACAUCCGAACACAGACGUAUAGCAUUACUAGCCCAAGGACUAACCAUACGCGCAACACACGCAGCCGCACUCACCGAGUUAGCCUGGCCGCUUCUCCCAAGCACAUAGCUUCUCCCCACCACCAAACCCGUCUUACAGUACAUCGCAAAAUCCUCACAGUUAUUCUCGAACACAUGGUACUCACCAAACCCAUUUCUCAGCAAAAGAAACUCCGCACGAGAGAUCACUUCCUCCGAAGGAUCCGAAGCCGCCGUCGUGCAGGUACCGCCUCGGAGCUUGGACAUGAACAGAGCCGGAGAGACACUGUACUCGAAGCGAAGGAGAUCUCCUCCGGAGAGAAAGCAAUCGAGACAAGAAGAGAUAACUCCAUGCGUGUUGGAUUGCUUUCCUCCACAGUUAGGACAAGGGUUGUCUCCUCCGUGAUUGGUAAUAGAGCUGACGAUGAGCUUGUCCAAAAAAGUUCCCGUUCCGAUUUCAAGACCGCCUCCACGUGUGAAAUGAAUGACCUUUCCGUCUCCUAUGUAGAUUCCUGUGAGAUUGCAAACAUAAAGUUUGGAUCUUUGAUAAACCCAGAAGAGAGAGAAGGAGAUGGGUUACCGUGAUGAGAAUAGAUAUAAGCGUUACGCCAUGAAUAGAUGUGGUCUCCUGGUUUCAGAUCGUCUUUAGAGAUCUUGUUGGAGAAUAAUCCUAUCUUCUCUAGAAGAAUGGAUUCCAUCUCUGGCUAGAUCAAUGGGGGUUCUCUAGAGUUUUUUCCAAGAUUGUUGGUUUAAAAAAACCAAACCUUUAAAGUCAACUGGUUUUGUAUUGGCUUAGCUGGAUAAGGAAAAAGUCAAAAGGUCAAAUUGAAUUUAAGAAUCAAUUUAUCCCCGGUAAAGGUGAUUUGCAUAAAUAUUUAGGAGAAACUCUAGAAAUUAAUAAACAUUUAUGAUUUUGAGUUAGAUAAAUUAUAAAUUAAUAAUGCUAUAUAAUUUUUUUAUAAAGUUACAUGAAUAUAAAUUUAUCUAUAAUUUCUCUUUGCAAUUUAGUAUUUUAAUAUUAUUUUUACAUCUAAAAUACAUUAAUAUUCUAGGAUAUAUAAUUUCAAUACGUAAAAUUUAUCAAAUAAUCUAAUUAAAAAAAAGAUUUCAAAUCUAAAAAGUUUGAUUACUCUAUAACAUCUUGAAAUUAAAAUUUCUUUUUUUAAAUAAAAACUGAAAAUAAAAUGUUUUACAAAUAUAAUCUAAAAUAAGUUUAAAAAAAAUAAUAAUUAUUUAUAGUGUUUUUAUUGUAUAAUAACAAAGAGAGAGUUCCACGAUUCAGCAAAAGUAGAAGUAGCCGAUUCUAUGAUCCACAAUAACAACUUGGUGAGUUAUUAGUUAUUGAUAACUCAGAAAAAGACACCAGUGCGUGUAUAUUCAGCCAGAUAAACAAGGUGGUGAAGAAGAUAUAGAGACAAAAGCAUGUUGUAUUCUUGUGUGAUUGUAAUGGGUUAUGAUCAGAAAACCUUCUCGUGUGGACAGCUUUGUUUAGUUAUUGUUUUACUGAUGAUGACUAGUGUAACACUAACACUAAAUUCCAAAUCAACCAAGGAGCCAAACUAAUGGUAGGUAGGUGAUCAAACACUAUUCGUCAUCCACUUGUGUUUGUUUAUUGUUUUUUUUGUUCAAACCAACUUUCAUUAAUAAAACUUAGACUCCAUCAAUGGAGGAAUUGUUCAACAGAAACAAUAACACAGCCACAUUAGCUAAAUAAACCGCUGCAAAAGCAAAACGGAUAACACAAACAUAGAUAAAAGCAAACAUAACACACAAGCAACUUAAAAGUGAAACACCAUGAAUGCUACUGAGUGAGAUGAAGCCACGGGAAUUGGAGAACACGUUCAGUGAACUGUUACCCGAACAUGCUGCAGCAACAAAUGCAUAGAACUAGCUAGACUUCUUGUCGUCUCUUCUUUCGAUAAUCGCUAUAAGCGUAACAAGGUCUUCCACAGGAACUUUGCUAGCAUCACUUCUCACACCAAUAUCAGCACAUAAACGACCAUAGCAGUAGUUACCAUACCCCGCCGCCAAAGUCACAACACCAACACCAGCAACCCCAGAAACAACCAACCUCGCAGCAGAGCCCACAGAAACACUCUUCACCGUCCCCCAAAGCGACAAAACACCACGCACCGCAGACCACGAGUUAGCCUGUCCACUACUCCCCAGCUUAGACAAAACAAUCAAACCAGUUUUGCAAUAGAUCGCAAAGUCUUCACAGUUGUUCCUCAACAGAUCAUACGCACCAAACCCAUUUUUAUUAGACAAGAGGUGUCUCGCACGGUUAACGGUUUCAUCAGAGGAGUCUGAAACCGCUGUUGUGCAGAUACCGCCUCGCGGUUUAGCCAUAAAGAUGGGUCCAGAGACACCGUACUCGAAGAGAUAGAGGUUUCCUCCGGCGAGGAAACAGUCGAGGCAAGAACAGAUCACACCGUCGAGAUUCGAUUGGUCUCCGCAGUUAGGACAAGGGUUGUCACCUCCAUGGUUUGGAACCGAACUAACGAUGAUGUUGUCUACGAAAGUCCCUGUCCUUGUCUCAAGACCACCUCCGCAAGUGAAAUGUAUGACGUCACCAUUGCCUACAUAGAUUCCUACAAGUUGCAAACAUAGAAAGGAUCGUCAUUUAUUCUAAGACAGGAACAUAAAAAGCUAAGAUCCAGCGAGAAUUGUCUGAACAGAAACUGAAGGAGUGUUAAAUGCAAUGUAGCUACAUAGAGAUAGAUGGAAGGGAAAGANNNNNNNNNNNNNNNNNNNNNNNNNNNNNNNNNNNNNNNNNNNNNNNNNNNNNNNNNNNNNNNNNNNNNNNNNNNNNNNNNNNNNNNNNNNNNNNNNNNNNNNNNNNNNNNNNNNNNNNNNNNNNNNNNNNNNNNNNNNNNNNNNNNNNNNNNNNNNNNNNNNNNNNNNNNNNNNNNNNNNNNNNNNNNNNNNNNNNNNNNNNNNNNNNNNNNNNNNNNNNNNNNNNNNNNNNNNNNNNNNNNNNNNNNNNNNNNNNNNNNNNNNNNNNNNNNNNNNNNNNNNNNNNNNNNNNNNNNNNNNNNNNNNNNNNNNGAAGAAGAAGUGAAAGACGAUAACGAGCUUGGUGAAACAGCAUGUGAGUUAGAAGUUCCAAAAGAAGGCGAUGGAGCUGCUGCUGAUGAAGUAAGUCUUGUAGUGAAUGACGAGAUCGGUCAAAUGCCAGCCGAGGACAAAGUCGAUCAUGUAGAGGGAAUAGAGGAUUUACAGGUGGAAGGAUACCAUGAUGGAGGUGUAGGCGGUGAAGAUGUUUGUGUUAUCGAAAUUACUGAAGGUGAUGUUGAUCACAACGCCAUUCUCAAUGAGACAGACUUGAAGGUUGAAGAUGAGCUUCCACAUGAUAAGAAGACGGAUGCAUCAGCUGAAGUCUGCGAGAUUGGUGUAGACAACCAGACUCAAUGUGAUAUCACAAUUGGCUAUAUUGAAAAUGGACACGUAGAAGCUGGUGAUUUGGCUUUGGAAAGUCUCAACGAACCAAUUGUGGAAGCAAAAUAUGAUGGGGUGAAUCCAGAGACAGAGCCUGAUAACAACUACGAACCGCAUAAUGAUGUGUUUAAUGAGGAGGCUACUAAUAUGCAAAGUGCACCAGAUGAAGAUCCUACUUCUCGCGAUGGUUUUAUGAGAGAUAACGACGUAAGUUUUGUUUCAUUGUGGUUUCAUAUCCUUAUUCAAGUAAAGACAUGCCUCUUAAGUUCUUCUUGUGUUAUUCUCUUAUGCUUUAGGAAAUGGAUACAAUGGAAGUGGCACAUGACACAGGUUCUAAACCUUUUACGAAUUUUAAUUGUACAAAUUAUCUGUACGUUCUCAGUUUAAGCAAUGGGACUAAUACUUGGUCAUCAUAGCAUGAUUUAGAUUUGUGAGAUGCUGUUAUAUCCAUGAUGUCUCAGUGGUUCUACUUAUAAUUGAUUUCACUCUGUGUUUUCAGGAUUUUUGAAUGUGGAUGAUGAUGAAGAUCAUGAAGAAGACGAUGGUAUGCAAGAAGGUGAUGAAACUCGUCUUCUAGAGAACAGUGGUUGGUCUUCUCGUACCAGGUCCGUACAGAAUCAUUUUUUUGCACAGACUAUCAUGUAAGAAACAUGAUGAGCCUGAAACACUGAAGACUAUUAUUCUCUUUUAUUAUAGGGCUGUGGCGAAGUAUCUCCAGACAAUAUUUGAUAAAGAAGCUGAGAAUGGGAAGAGUGUUGUUGUAGCGGACAAACUUUUAGCUGGGAAAACCCGUAAAGAAGCAUCGAGAAUGUUUUUUGAAACCCUGGUAUGUUCAUAAUACGACCCUAAACAAAAAAAAAAAAAGCUCUGAUCUUUCUCUCGAGAAAACAAACUUGACCAGUAAUUGAUAAAUACACAUAGAAUCUUACAUGUUUUGGUUUUAUGCUGCAACUCCAGAUUAAUUUGUCUGUUUUCCUACUGGAUUGUUAGGAUGUUUAGGUGUAAGCAUGUCUAAGUUAGGUGUGUACUCUCGGCUUUAGUGCAUCAAUCACAACUUGUCUUUUUAAGACGGAAGAACAAGUUUGGUCUUCAUAAACUUGAUCAUCUUGUUGAAUCUGUCUUUUAUUAUUUGCCAAUGUUGCAGGUUUUGAAAACAAGAGAUUAUAUCCAAGUUGAACAAGCUAAGCCAUAUGAAAGCAUCACCAUAAAACCGCGACCAAGACUCACCAAAUCCAUCUUCUAGACGGAGAGGAGUCUUAUAGUUGCAGAUAGGUAGAGUUUGGUCCAGCCAGAAAAUAUCAUCCUAAAUGAUUUUCAUUCUCUGAAGUUAUAUACAUUUUCCCUUUUACAAGGCAAUGUAGUAGCGAUAAUAGUGUCAGUGGUGUUGUAGCUAACCAUCCAAGUAGCUGGAGGUCAUUUAUUUUACCCUUAUAUAUAUAACUUGUAUGUAUGUAUAUAUUGGUGCCACCAUGAUCAUCACCAGUUUAUAUUUGAGAGAUGCUAAUUUUAUUUUCUCCCGUCUGUCAUAUUGAACUUGAGAAUGUCGAGGAACCCAUUUUUUUACUGAAUAUUAAUAAUUUCAUAUUAAUAUUAUUGGAAUCAAACAGAAGGUAUAAAUGAUUGGAAGUAAAUAAAAUGAUAAUAUCUAUAAUCCUUUUAUUCCACAAACAAAAGUAAAGCUGAGAUCCACCUUUUUCAAAUUUUGGUGUAAUGUAAAAUUAAUCUUUCUCCUACCGAAAAAACAUUUCUUGACAACAAUUUGCUACAAUCAAAAUUGAAAACUCAGACGUAAACCAUCAAAAUGGAUACACAGAAUACAGAGAGAGAGAGCUAUGAAAGUUCACUGAGACUGAAGAACAGUAAGGUAAUAAGGAUAGCCUUGGCAUGUCCCUGAUGAUGCAUCUUCACGCCCGGAAAGCUCCCAGGUAAGUUUAUACGAAGAGAGAUUGUAGAUACCUGGAGCGAAAACCGAUAUCUGCAGCGGGAUCUCCGUUGUUGACAAUGGCUGGAUUUCGACCUUUGUGGAACUUAAACCUGACCAUAUGAAAGGAGGUGAGCUUUCCAUGGACGAUGGAGGUUUCCCUGAACGGCUCCCCAUGACAUCUGAAGUCAGUUUCAUUUCCUCUGUUAUAUCUGGCACGUAGCGCCACCCGGAUUGGUUUCCAGCGGAAGGAGUUGGUGUUGCUACGUCUUGUACG